rnacentral:misc_RNA from 1 species
CCAAUAGCGUAUAUUAAAGUUGUUGUGGUUAAAAAGCUCGUAGUUGAACCUUGGGCCUGGCUGGCCGGUCCGCCUCACCGCGUGUACUGGUCCGGCCGGGCCUUUCCCUCUGUGGAACCCCAUGCCCUUCACUGGGUGUGGCGGGGAAACAGGACUUUUACUUUGAAAAAAUUAGAGUGCUCCAGGCAGGCCUAUGCUCGAAUACAUUAGCAUGGAAUAAUAGAAUAGGACGUGUGGUUCUAUUUUGUUGGUUUCUAGGACCGCCGUAAUGAUUAAUAGGGACAGUCGGGGGCAUCAGUAUUCAAUUGUCAGAGGUGAAAUUCUUGGAUUUAUUGAAGACUAACUACUGCGAAAGCAUUUGCCAAGGAUGUUUUCAUUAAUCAGGAACGAAAGUUAGGGGAUCGAAGACGAUCAGAUACCGUCGUAGUCUUAACCAUAAACUAUGCCGACUAGGGAUCGGACGAUGUUAUUUAUUGACUCGUUCGGCACCUUACGAGAAACCAAGUGUUUGGGUUC